rnacentral:misc_RNA from 1 species
GUGAAUCAUCGAAUUUUUGAACGCAAAUUGCACUCUCCGGUUUUCCGGGAGAGUAUGCCUGUUUGCAGGUCUGUUUAAAAAAUAAUCGAGGCUGCUGCUGUGGUGGCGCUUCGGAAUUGGGUCAUCUUCCACCUUUCGGGGUUGUAAGCGACCUAAAAUUUUUUUAAGAUUCCCUCCGAAGGUGCUAAAAAUUUUUCCUUUUCCUU